rnacentral:lncRNA from 1 species
CGGACGGGGCCGCCCCGAUGGGACGCCGCGCUCCGGCCCCUGCGCGCCGCUGAGCCGAGCGCCCCCCGCUGCCGAGACCCCCGCCGCCACCGCCAGCCGCUGCCCCCUCGCCCCCGCCCGGGCCGGGAGCCUCGUCCCCGUCCCCCGGAAAGCUGGAUUUCCGAGGCUGGAGGCGCCUGGCCGGCUGGGUGGGGACCACCAUGGGCAACGCGGCCGGCAGCGCCGAGCAGCCCGCGGGCCCCGCCGCGCCGCCCCCCAAGCAGCCCGCGCCUCCCAAGCAGCCGAUGCCCGCGGCCGGUGAUCAAGACGGUGCCCUUCACGGCCCGCACCGGCAAGCGGACAUCCCGGCUCCUCUGUGAGGCCAGCCUGGGAGAAGAGAUGCCCCUCUAGCCCCUCAGGUACCCAGAUGACCUGGCCUCUGAUACCACGCUGCCCACAGCCCCUGGGACCCUUGGGAGAACUGAGGCAUGCUGCCUUCUCCUGGGCCAGUGGAUGGCUGGGAUGUGAUUUGUGGGGUGGAGGGGUCUGGCAAACAUAAACGGUACCCCUGCCAUGUGCACACAAUCUGAGUCCUUAGGAGGCUAAGCUUUGUGCCCUGGAGCCAUGCUCCCAGCUCUGGGCGGACUCCUGAAUGGUAAAUGUGUCUCCUUCGGCUGCCAGAUCUGCGGAACCAGCCCUACAUCCGCGCAGACACAGGCCGCCGCAGUGCCCGUCGGCGUCCCCCGGGCCCCCCACUGCAGGUCACCUCCGACCUCUCGCUGUAGCCGCUAUUUCUGCAGGUGGAUUCUGCAGGGGUGUGGGGCCGUGGACAGGCUGAGGCUCAAGGAAGGUGGUCCUCAGCUCGGCUGGCCGGGCAGCCCCUCCUCCGCUGUGGCCCGCCUCAAACGGGCUGGUGCAUCCUCCUCUUGGCCACAGAGGGCAGCAUCGCCCGCCCCUUCCCCCAAAUGCUGCUUGCAGCACCCACCCUAAAGCCCCCUCCAAAUAGCCAUACUUAGCCUCAGCAGGAGCCUGGCCUGUAACUUAUAAAGUGCACCUCGCCCCCGCAAGCCCCAGCCCCGAGGACCGUCCAUGGACCUUAUUUUUAUAUGAGAUUAAUAAAGAUGUUUGC